rnacentral:rRNA from 1 species
UACGGAGGGUGCAAGCAUUAAUCGGAUUUAUUGGGCGUAAAGGGCGCGUAGACGGGAAGAUAAGUCAGAUGUGAAAUUCCGAUGCUCAACAUCGGAGCCGCAUUUGAAACUGUCUUUCUGGAGGCUAGGCGGAGAAAGCGGAAUUCCACGUGUAGCGGUGAAAUGCGUAGAUAUGUGGAAGAACACCUGUGGCGAAAGCGGCUUUCGAGCUUAGACCUGACGUUGAUGCGCGAGAGCAAGGGGAGCAAACAGG